AGGACUGCAGUCAGAGAGAGUGGGAGGAGAGUUAAACUAAGGUUAGGAACUAGUGCAUAGCAGCGCGCAGUCCACUGCUUAGUCUAGGGCACACACAGAAAAGACUGAAGUCAUGUGAAUCAACGUGACAACUGAAAAAUAUACACUGUACAAAUAUAAAGCACAGACAACCUCGAUGCUGCUUGGCCAGGAUCUGAGAACUCGGCCUAGUGAGACAGAACACAGCCUGAUGAGCCAACAACAUCCUAUGCCAGAAGUUGAAACUGAGAGCUAACAGAUGGCCCUACAUGUGCACAUACAGCAACUAGAUCACA